rnacentral:rRNA from 1 species
GACGGGGCCGCACAAGCGGUGGAGCAUGUGGUUAAUUCGACGCAACGCGAAGACCUUACCAGGGCUUGACAUCCCCUGACCGCGUAUGAAAGUACGUUUUCACCCUCGGGUGACAGGGAGACAGGUGGUGCAUGGUUGUCGUCAGCUCGUGUCGUGAGAUGUUGGGUUAAGUCCCGCAACGAGCGCAACCCCUACGUUUAGUUGCUAACAGGUGAAGCUGAGCACUCUAGACGAACUGCCGUUGACAAAACGGAGGAAGGUGGGAUGACGUCAAAUCAUCAUGCCCCUUAUGUUCUGGGCUACACACGUGCUACAAUGGCCGGUACAGACGGAGGCGAAGCCGCGAGGCGGAGCAAAUCCGAAAAAGCCGGUCUCAGUUCGGAUUGCAGGCUGCAAUUCGCCUGCAUGAAGUCGGAAUCGCUAGUAAUCGCAGGUCAGCCAUACUGCGUUGAAUACGUUCCCGGGGCUU